rnacentral:tRNA from 1 species
GAUGCCGUAGCCGCUGGUAAGGCAUAGGUUCGCAAAGCUGAAGUUGUUGGUUCGAAUCCAACCGGUAUCG